rnacentral:misc_RNA from 1 species
CCGAGAUGCCGUUCCAGGGCCGGACGCUGCGCACCAUCGACCCGUUUGGCACGCCGCUCGAGUUCUAUUUCCGCAUGGACCAAAGCGAGUGCCUGCUGCAGAAAUACGGCAAGCAUCUCGGCGCGCGCAUCCAGCGCAUCGAUCACGUCAACUGCUUCACGCCCGACGUGCAGGUGAGCUACGACUUCUUCAACGAGAUCGGCUUCCGCAUCACCGAGUACACCGAGACCGAGCCGCCGGAUCCGAAGCUGUGGGCGGUGUGGAUGCAGCGCAAGGGCAACGUGCACGACCUCGCCUUCACCAACGGCCGCGGGCCACGCCUGCACCACAUCGGCGUGUGGACGGCGAGCGCCCUCGACAUCCUGCACAUCUGCGACGUGAUGGCGACGA